CAAUAGCGUAUAUUAAAGUUGUUGCGGUUAAAAAGCUCGUAGUUGGAGUUCUGCCAGGUGACGCUCGUCCGCCCAAGUGGUGUGUACAGGGCGUGCAUCUGGCCCUUUCAAGGGGAACGUGUCUGCACUUUACUGUGUGGUGCGAGAUCCUUGACUUUUACUUUGAGGAAAUCAGAGUGUUCCAAGCAGGCUCUCGUCGUGUAUAGCUCAGCAUGGAAUAAUAGCAUUGGACUUCGUUUCUAAGCUGUUGGUUGCAAGAAGCGAGGUAAUGAUGAAGAGGGAUAGUUGGGGGCAUUCGUAUUUAACUGUCAGAGGUGAAAUUCUUGGAUUUGUUAAAGACGAACUACUGCGAAAGCAUUUGCCAAGGAUGUUUUCAUUGA
rnacentral:rRNA from 1 species